CACCAGGACAUUCUGCUUUCAGCUCCGACUACCUGUCCGGUCCUAUGAUGGGUGGGAGGACAGAUCAGUGGAACAAGACAAAGGACAAAAGCACGCCUGACUCAUUUCUAGGCUUUUCUCAGACUGG